CUGCAGUCAGCUGUGAACAUUACCCACCUGCACUCCAGGUGUGCACCAGCCCCAGUGGCAUCACUGAGCUCUCUGUGAAGGGUGCACCAUGGGCAGGCUGGCAGUGAGAGCUCACCUCCUCCUGGUACAGUAUGAUUUUGCUUGUUUCUGCACUGAUUUCCUCCACUUUGAGUGGGCACAGACAAGUGAAAUGUUUCUGACUCAACGAGUUCAGCCUCUCACAGGGGUUGCUCCAGCUCAACUUAGAAGGAGGGAGUUGUUUCAAAUUAGCAGAGAGUCUGAGGUGCCUUUGAGGAGCCUGUGCAGUGCUUAGCAGAGGGAGCAGAGGCCAGCUUGUUGUGGUGACCCUGAGGCACAGCUGAGUGAAAGGACAAAGUGAUUGUUGUGGAUUCCAAAACUGAAAAAAGUGAUUUUCCACAGAACAAGACAAAGUAUCAAAUAGUUGUACUCAGUCUACACAGUAAAUUGAUGCAAUAUUGUUUGGAGAGGGGCAGGAGAAACAAAUGACCUUGUUUCCUUGGUGUGUUACCUGGAGUAAAUGCAGGAUAUUUUACACUUCCAGAAGUUUUGAUAACUCACAGUGGGGCUUCCCUGAGCUGAGGAGGGUGUGGGUGGGAUCUGAGGCACCUCUCAGUGGAAGCACACCCAGGGGCCUCUGUUAGCC
rnacentral:lncRNA from 1 species